UACGUAGGGCGCAAGCGUUGUCCGGAAUUAUUGGGCGUAAAGAGCUCGUAGGCGGUUUGUCGCGUCUGCUGUGAAAUCCUCAGGCUCAACUUGGGGCGUGCAGUGGGUACGGGCAGACUAGAGUGCGGUAGGGGAGACUGGAAUUCCUGGUGUAGCGGUGGAAUGCGCAGAUAUCAGGAGGAACACCGAUGGCGAAGGCAGGUCUCUGGGCCGUUACUGACGCUGAGGAGCGAAAGCAUGGGGGAGCGAACAGG
rnacentral:rRNA from 1 species